GUGGAAAGCUCAAAACCCAUCGGCAUCAAAUGGCUCGCGCCGUGCAAGGCUGGCUGCACCGCGCGACGAAAGGGCGAUCCCCCGGGUCUGAAGUGGCCGGAUAACUUCCCCGAGGGC
rnacentral:SRP_RNA from 13 species